GCCCUAGUAGCUUAAAUAAAGCAUUGGUUUUGUAAUCCAAAGACUGGAAGUUAAAGUCCCCCCUAGUGCU
rnacentral:tRNA from 1 species